CCUACGGGAGGCAGCAGUGGGGAAUAUUGGGCAAUGGAGGAAACUCUGACCCAGCGACGCCGCGUGCGGGAUGAAGGCCUUCGGGUUGUAAACCGCUUUCAGCAGGGAAGAAGCGAAAGUGACGGUACCUGCAGAAGAAGCACCGGCUAACUAUGUGCCAGCAGCCGCGGUAAUACAUAGGGUGCAAGCGUUGUCCGGAAUUAUUGGGCGUAAAGAGCUCGUAGGUGGUUCGUCACGUCGGAUGUGAAAAUCUGGGGCUUAACCCCAGACCUGCAUUCGAUACGGGCGAGCUUGAGUAUGGUAGGGGAGUCUGGAAUUCCUGGUGUAGCGGUGGAAUGCGCAGAUAUCAGGAGGAACACCAAUGGCGAAGGCAGGACUCUGGGCCAUUACUGACACUGAGGAGCGAAAACGUGGGGAGCGAACAGGAUUAGAUACCCUGGUAGUCCACGCCGUAAACGGUGGGCACUAGUUGUGGGGACCUUCCACGGUCUCUGCGACGCNGCUACGACAUAAGUGCCCGCCGUCGGGAGGUACGAGUCGCGAGAAGUUAAAACUUAAACUUAGAAGUUAGUACGGCGUGAGACGUGCCGACGGACGACGACGAGGGAGGUAGG
rnacentral:rRNA from 1 species